rnacentral:misc_RNA from 1 species
GAUGAGAACGCAGUGAAAUGCGAUAAGUAAUGUGAAUUGCAGAAUUCAGUGAAUCAUCGAAUCUUUGAACGCACAUUGCGCCCGCCAGUAUUCUGGCGGGCAUGCCUGUUCGAGCGUCAUUUCAACCAUCAAGCCCCCGGCUUGCGUUGGGGACCUGCGGCUGCCGCAGGCCCUGAAAAGCAGUGGCGGGCUCGCUGUCACACCGAGCGUAGUAGCAUACAUCUCGCUCUGGGCGUGCUGCGGGUUCCGGCCGUUAAACCACCUUCAUAACCCAAGGUUGACCUCGGAUCAGGUAGGAAGACCCGCUGAACUUAAGCAUAUCAAUAAGCGGAGGA